rnacentral:tRNA from 1 species
GGGCGAUUAGCGCAGCUGGUUAGCGCACUUCGUUUACACCGAAGGGGUCAGCGGUUCGAAUCCGUUAUCGCCCACCA